UACGAAGGGGGCUAGCGUUGUUCGGAAUUACUGGGCGUAAAGGGCGCGUAGGCGGCUUCGCUAGUCGGGUGUGAAAUGCCUGGGCUCAACCCAGGAACUGCACUCGAAACUUCGAGGCUAGAGUGUGGGAGAGGAUAGUGGAAUUCCCAGUGUAGAGGUGAAAUUCGUAGAUAUUGGGAAGAACACCGGUGGCGAAGGCGGCUAUCUGGACCACAACUGACGCUGAGGCGCGAAAGCGUGGGGAGCAAACAGG
rnacentral:rRNA from 1 species